AUCAAACAAUCAUUUAAAAGUACCUUGGAAAAGGAGUAAAAGGGAAUCCGGUGAGAAUCCGGAACAAUACCCGUUGCUGUAUGAGGGGAGCGUUCUCUGGUAAGCCCACUGUGCGGAUGCAUGGGAAGGGGGAGAAAGGCAAAGAUCCUUAAGUCAGAAUACCUGCUUUUAAAUGUGUCGGAAA
rnacentral:ncRNA from 2 species